GAUGAACGCUGGCGGCGUGCCUAAUACAUGCAAGUCGAGCGAACAGACGAGGAGCUUGCUCCUCUGACGUUAGCGGCGGACGGGUGAGUAACACGUGGAUAACCUACCUAUAAGACUGGGAUAACUUCGGGAAACCAGAGCUAAUACCGGAUAAUAUAUUGAACCGCAUGGUUCAAUAGUGAAAGACGGUUUUGCUGUCACUUAUAGAUGGAUCCGCGCCGCAUUAGCUAGUUGGUAAGGUAACGGCUUACCAAGGCGACGAUGCGUAGCCGACCUGAGAGGGUCAUCGGCCACACUGGAACUGAGACACGGUCCAGACUCCUACGGGAGGCAGCAGUAGGGAAUCUUCCGCAAUGGGCGAAAGCCUGACGGAGCAACGCCGCGUGAGUGAUGAAGGUCUUCGGAUCGUAAAACUCUGUUAUUAGGGAAGAACAAAUGUGUAAGUAACUAUGCACGUCUUGACGGUACCUAAUCAGAAAGCCACGGCUAACUACGUG
rnacentral:rRNA from 1 species